rnacentral:rRNA from 1 species
GAACGCUGGCGGCAGCCUAACACAUGCAAGUCGAGCGGAUGAAGGGAGCUUGCUCCUGGAUUCAGCGGCGGACGGGUGAGUAAUGCCUAGGAAUCUGCCUGGUAGAGGGGGAUAACGUCCGGAAACGGGCGCUAAUACCGCGUACGUCCUGAGGGAGAAAGUGGGGGAUCUUCGGACCUCACGCUAUCAGAUGAGCCUAGGUCGGAUUAGCUAGUUGGUGGGGUAAAGGCCUACCAAGGCGACGAUCCGUAACUGGUCUGAGAGGAUGAUCAGUCACACUGGAACUGAGACACGGUCCAGACUCCUACGGGAGGCAGCAGUGGGGAAUAUUGGACAAUGGGCGAAAGCCUGAUCCAGCCAUGCCGCGUGUGUGAAGAAGGUCUUCGGAUUGUAAAGCACUUUAAGUUGGGAGGAAGGGCAGUAAGUUAAUACCUUGCUGUUUUGACGUUACCAACAGAAUAAGCACCGGCUAACUUCGUGCCAGCAGCCGCGGUAAUACGAAGGGUGCAAGCGUUAAUCGGAAUUACUGGGCGUAAAGCGCGCGUAGGUGGUUCAGCAAGUUGGAUGUGAAAUCCCCGGGCUCAACCUGGGAACUGCAUCCAAAACUACUGAGCUAGAGUACGGUAGAGGGUGGUGGAAUUUCCUGUGUAGCGGUGAAAUGCGUAGAUAUAGGAAGGAACACCAGUGGCGAAGGCGACCACCUGGACUGAUACUGACACUGAGGUGUGAAAGCGUGGGGAGCAAACAGGAUUAGAUACCCUGGUAGUCCACGCCGUAAACGAUGUCGACUAGCCGUUGGGAUCCUUGAGAUCUUAGUGGCGCAGCUAACGCGAUAAGUCGACCG